CAGUCGCCGCGGUAAUACGAAGGGUGCAAGCGUUAAUCGGAAUUACUGGGCGUAAAGCGCACGUAGGCGGAUCGAUCAGUCAGGGGUGAAAUCCCAGAGCUCAACUCUGGAACUGCCUUUGAUACUGUCGAUCUGGAGUAUGGAAGAGGUGAGUGGAAUUCCGAGUGUAGAGGUGAAAUUCGUAGAUAUUCGGAGGAACACCAGUGGCGAAGGCGGCUCACUGGUCCAUUACUGACGCUGAGGUGCGAAAGCGUGGGGAGCAAACAGGAUUAGAUACCCCGGUAGUCCCUGUCUCUUAUAA
rnacentral:rRNA from 1 species